rnacentral:lncRNA from 1 species
CGCAGGGUACAUGACCAAGGAUGUGGUUAUAAAUAUAAUUUUAAUUACGCAGAGCUUGUACACAUGGAUCCACCUGAAAAAGAGGUGAAUUAGUAAUAAGCCGACCAAACGACACCCCACCUGUCGAAGAAUCUAGGAGUCACUUCAGGAAUCUUGCUUUCCUAAGCUUGGACGCAUCCUCCCGCAAGGUCACUCCGGGAACGUAAAACUCUCCUCACAGGGCCGAACAUGGGCCAUAGCAAUUUAAGGAGCAAAGGCAACUACCAUCCCCUUACACCAACAUGCCAUCCUCCU